UGUCAGUCUUCCAGAGAUGAAAGACUGCAGCCCAGGCAAGCUGCCCGAAUUUGCUGAUGGCAUCUAAUUGUGGCCUGCAGGCUGAGCAAGCAGCACUGAUUUCUGUGUUGAUUAGGCAAUAAUUUGAGUUGAUUAUUAUUUCUUGUUUCCUUUCUUCUCCAACUGACAAAUGGCAGAAAAAUGCUGGGGAUGAUCCUGAAGAGACUGAUGGCUACACAAAAUCACUGUCAGAUCUCAUUUGGGCCCCAUACAGGGCUUUGGAAAAAGCCUUGGAAAUGCAGAUCAGGUGCAAGGAACACUUCUCUGUGGCAGAACAACAAGCCAGCAACAGGCAUACCAUGAAGGGUCAUCUGGGAGUAGAGCAGCAAGUAAGCUGUGAUGCUGCCCCGCUGAGCUAUCUGUGUGACAUUCACUGGGCAUCCCAUUACCUGUGAUUUCUGCAGGGCGGUUGCAGCUGUACACACCGAGACCUUCAGCCACAAAGAAGCUGAACCCUAAGCAGUGCUGGAGCGCUGAUUGCCAGAAGCACUGUUGAUAGUUGUGUGUUCUCCUAACAGCCUCGUGGCAGGACCAGACUUCAACCCUACCCUGCAGCAGCUCUUAGAAAUCUUGAGAAUAGAGACAUAGAGGCACAAAGGAACAUUUUACAACAUAAGGGAACUUGCUAUACCCUGAUAGCAUAGUCACUAGCAAUUACACUGUAUGGUUACAUUUCAGCAGAAGAAACCACACUGCAAAGCUUUCCAAUCUGGGUUCUCACUGAAUUGGUGAUGUCUCCCAAAAAGCAGUGUGCAAAGCCUUGUUCCUGCAGAGCCCAGAAGGACCUGCACGGGCCAUCCCGUGGCAGUAGCUCUGUCCCUGCCUCCCUCCCCAGCCUCUGCAGGCAGAGCACAAAAGAUAAUUGCUGUUCUACUGGCCUGAUAGUCUCACCUUGCUGCACUGCCUUGCACGGCCCCUUCUUAUCAAUCUGCAGAUCAUCACCAUGCUUUUACUGGCCUGUUGGAGCUUGCAUGCUCCGCUGGCUGCUCGCACUCAAGGCUCACCCCUUACCUGCUUGUACCCACCCGUGAUUUGGGAACCUCUUUCAGUAGCAGCUGCUCUCAGGCUGCUCUAAUGGGCAAUACUGGAAACUCCACAUCAGGGUUGUCCCAUCACAUCCAGCACCCAUAAAACCAGAUUCAUUGCAAGCUGCCCUUCCCCUCCCUCACAGCAAUUAGCACUCUUGAGGUUCAGCCACCACUUCCCCAUGAGUAUAUAUGUGACUGUAAAUGAAUCUGAGAGGCAACCCCCCCAAAAAAAAAUUUCCUAAAGAAAUCAGCUGGGUUGUGCAGGGGACUUGGAACAGGUCUCUUUGUCCUUCUGCUCUGGGACAUGGGACUGGGCAGGUCCCGGUUGCCUUGGGAAGGCUCUGGGUGAGGGUUGUACCAUACUGGUCCCAGCUGGGUCUCUCCCAGUUUCUCAAUUUUACGAGCGCUAAAAAUAUUUGAGAGACAUAAACACAAAAUCCGAAGUGUGCAGAAAUCCCUCCCUCUUGCCCGGAGCACUCUGGGCAGCUCUGCCCAGGAGAGGAGGGCAUGGGGGCUCCUUGGUUCACUGCGAACUGUCCCAGCAGAUCUUAUCACCGUCAGUGCUGGGACACAGGCGCUGGUCCCAGAGGUGACCUCAGAAGGUAUGUGCCAGAGAUCACCCUCGCCUGGAGGGAGAGUGGUGGGACACAUCCUGCUCCUUCCUGCCUUUAUGCUGGAGCUCAUGCCGGCAAGCAGAUGGCGACGGAUCUCAUCCAUUAAGACAGAGAAACAAGGAAUUUGCCUCAAUUGCAGGCAAUCACAACACCGAAGCCGUCUCUGCAGUCUUUAAUGCCCAACAAGCACAUCCGAUCCUCUCAAUUCGCUCCUCCACAAUUAGGAGCAAAAGAGCAGCAGCCACUACCAGCAGUGCUGGGCACACAGCGUGGGGAGGGUGAGGGGACGUGGGGGGGAUCCAAAGCUUUCAUGCAGCACAGGGCAGUCCCCAGGCAUGGUGCAGCAUCUCAGGUGACUUCUUUCUCGUGCAGGUCCUUGAGAAGCGUCCUGUAAGCAAAGCAUUUGAGGCAAUCCAAAACAAAACUUUCUGCCUGGCUCGGCAGAAAACAGAAAACAAACUUUCCCGUGGGGCUGAAGGGAGCGUUGGUACAGCAGGAGGUCAGGUCUGUCAUUUAGGUGUGGGGUUUUGUACGCAGAGAGCCUUGCCAGUAAAUAUCACUCAGAAACGUUGGAAAUGGAUCAAGAAUUU
ensembl:lncRNA